AGUAAAAGUCGUAACAAGGUCUCCGUUGGUGAACCAGCGGAGGGAUCAUUAUCGAGUUGCAAAACUCCAAACCCAUGUGAACGUUACUCGUGUUGCCUCGGCGGCGAGCUACCCGGGGGUCUCCUACCCUGUAGGUGCUACCCUGGAGCUGCUACCCCGUAGCGGCUGGCCCCCCGCCGGUGGACCAACCCCAACUCUGUUUUCUGUGUGGCACCUCUGAGUACAUACUAUAUAAAUAAGUUAAAACUUUCAACAACGGAUCUCUUGGUUCUGGCAUCGAUGAAGAACGCAGCGAAAUGCGAUACGUAAUGUGAAUUGCAGAAUUCAGUGAAUCAUCGAAUCUUUGAACGCACAUUGCGCCCAUUAGUAUUCUAGUGGGCAUGCCUGUUCGAGCGUCAUUACGACCCUUAAGCCUUCGUUGCUUAGCGUUGGGAGCAUUACCGUCGAGGUAACUCCUCAAAGUCAGUGGCGGAGCCGCGACACACCCUAGGCGUAGUAGAUUUACUUUCUCGCCUCUGCGGUGGUCCCGGCUGUCGCCAGAAAACCCCUAUAUUCUAGUGGUUGACCUCGGAUCAGGUAGGAAUACCCGCUGAACUUAAGCA
rnacentral:rRNA from 1 species